UAGGGAAUAUUAGAAAUGGACGAAAGUCUGAUCUAGCAACACCGCGUGUGCGAUGAAGGCCUUCGGGUCGUAAAGCACUUUUUGGAAGGAAUAGGAAGGAAUGUACUUCCAGAAUAAGUCUCGGCUAACUACGUGCCAGCAGCCGCGGUAACACGUAGGAGGCAAACGUUAUCCGGAUUUACUGGGCGUAAAGCGCGUGUAGGUGGUACUGUAAGUAGGGCGUGAAAGCUCCUGGCUCAACUGGGAGAGGCCGUUCUAAACUACAGAGCUAGAGGAUGGUAGAGGGAGGUGGAAUUCCGGGUGUAGCGGUGGAAUGCGCAGAUAUCCGGAGGAACACCAGUGGCGAAGGCGGCCUCCUGGACCAUUCCUGACACUCAGACGCGAAAGCUAGGGUAGCAAACGG
rnacentral:rRNA from 1 species